CUCUUAUUGAGAAAAAAAAAACACCUCUGUUUGCAUCUGUAGACAAAGAUCUGUUCAGAAUGGUUGGCUUUGUGAGUUUACAGCUGGCCGAUGAGAGGUGCUGCAUGAUAUUGGAAGAUGGGACAGAAGGAACCAGUAUUCUGCAGAGGCAGUUGCAUGAGCAGAUAUGAAAUGUCCUGGAGGCUCCCCCAGUAAGCUGAGAAGCACCUGCUUUCCCACUAUAGACUGAGACCACUGAUGGAAGCUUCCCAGAGAUUUGAGAAUUGCAGAAGCUUCUGUGAGCUAUGAAGAACAACGUGACUUUGACCUUCAGACUGAGAUAUAGCUGGAGGCUGCUUUGACCUUCUUUCCCACAGCUCUUUUGACCUUUCUAAAGCCCCAAACCCUAUCUUAAAAAUGACAAAUAUGGAAUGCAAAGAGCAGCUUUUCUUUUUCUGAUCAUGGCCUUAAUGUAAUACAAUAGUGAAACCGUCUAGCAUAGUGAUUAAGAACAUUGGCUGUAGAAUUAGACAUAUUUAGUUUAGCAUUUUGAUUCUACCCCAAACUGGCAAAGUUACUGAAUGUAUCUAAAUUUUAAUUUGCUCAUUUGUAAAAUAUGGCUAAUAAUAGUACUAUUUUUUAGCUCAUUUAUAAAGUAUGGAUAAUAAUAGUGCCUAUUUUAGGGAGUUCUGAAUAUUAAAAGAAGUAAACCAUGUAAAGCACUUAGCACAGUGCUGGAUACUAACAAUCGUUAUUGUGAUCUAACUAUAAUUUUGCUUAAAAACAUUUGUUCAAGUUUUCUUAUAUCAUCUCCUCUAUAGAUAUGAGAAUUUAACAUGAAAUUUUAACUCUACAAGUUAAAUGGGAGCUAAAAUAAUA
rnacentral:lncRNA from 1 species